GCGGAUAUGGCGAAAUUGGUUGAAACGCGAUAGGUUCAAAACCUAUUACCCAAGCUGGUAAAACGUUGUAGGUUCGAGUCCUACUAUCCGUAC
rnacentral:tRNA from 1 species